GCCAGUGUGGUGUAGUGGUUUGAAUGUAGGACUAUGACUCUGGAGAUGAGAGUUUGAAUCCCUACUCAGUCA